GACGAACGCUGGCGGCGUGCUUAACACAUGCAAGUCGAACGGAAAGGCCUCUUUCGGGGGGUACUCGAGUGGCGAACGGGUGAGUAACACGUGAGUAACCUGCCCUUGACUUUGGGAUAACUUCAGGAAACUGGGGCUAAUACCGGAUAGGAGCUCCUGCUGCAUGGUGGGGGUUGGAAAGUUUCGGCGGUUGGGGAUGGACUCGCGGCUUAUCAGCUUGUUGGUAGGGUAGUGGCUUACCAAGGCUUUGACGGGUAGCCGGCCUGAGAGGGUGACCGGCCACAUUGGGACUGAGAUACGGCCCAGACUCCUACGGGAGGCAGCAGUGGGGAAUAUUGCACAAUGGGUGGAAGCCUGAUGCAGCAACGCCGUGUGCGGGAGGACGGCCUUCGGGUUGUAAACCGCUUUCGCUCAUGACGAAGCUUUGUGUGACGGUAGUGGGUAAAGAAGCACCGGCUAACUACGUG
rnacentral:rRNA from 1 species